AGUGAACGCUGGCGGUAGGCCUAACACAUGCAAGUCGAACGGCAGCACAGAGGAGCUUGCUCCUUGGGUGGCGAGUGGCGGACGGGUGAGGAAUACAUCGGAAUCUACUCUGUCGUGGGGGAUAACGUAGGGAAACAUACGCUAAUACCGCAUACGACCUACGGGUGAAAGCAGGGGACCUUCGGGCCUUGCGCGAUUGAAUGAGCCGGUGUCGGAUUAGCUAGUUGGCGGGGUAAAGGCCCACCAAGGCGACGAUCGGUAGCUGGUCUGAGAGGAAGAUCACGCACACGGGAACUGAGACACGGUCCAGACACCUACGGGAGGCAGCAGUGGGGAAUAGUGGACCAUGGGCGCAAGCCUGAUCCAGCCAUACCGCGUGGGGGAAGAAGGCCUUCGGGUUGUAAAGCCCUUUUGUUGGGAAAGAAAUCCAGCUGGCUAAUACCCGGUUGGGAUGACGGUACCCAAAGAAUAAGCACCGGCUAACUUCGUGCCAGCCGCCGCCGUAA
rnacentral:rRNA from 1 species